rnacentral:ncRNA from 1 species
GGUUUGGUCGCCAUUAUGGCGUGAAAAGGGAAUGCCGUGAAAAUCGGCAACAGUCCCGCUGCUGUAAGCCCUGUAGUGCAGAGACUGAGAAUCAAGGCCACUGUCCGGCAACAAAGCCGUAUGGGAAGGCUGAGUCUCCGCAAGGUAAGUCAGAAGACCUGCCAAACCG